GAAAUGAAGUUGGAUUGCCAUUUCUUUUUCAUAAGCACAGUUGUACAACGUUGAUUUGACAUGUGAUGUUUAUUGAUUGGGAUGGUAUGUAGUUGAUGCACUCCAACAAAUAGCUGGUACCAUGGGCUCAACAUAUUAGAAGUUUAAUGGUAGUUCUUGCCAACUUGAAAUGGUUGGGAUGACACCAGAGCCACCAAGAAAUUCUGAGAGCAGCAUUGGUUGUGAUUGCAACAACACCGUUUGUCAUGUCGUAAAGAUAGUGCUCAAGUUCUAUAGUACGUCUUCCUGGCAUGCUUCCGCCUCAACUGGUGAAGCUUCCUCACCUUCGAGAAAUUGAUUUUGCUUACAACUAUCUCAAUGGGACAAUACCACUGGAAUGGGCUUCAAUGCGAUUAACUUCUAUCUCUGUUAUUGGGAAUCGCUUAUCAGGGGAGAUUCCAAAGGAAUUGGAAAAUAUUACUGGUCUCACAUACCUGUACGUUUUGAACUUUGGUUUGAAGUCUUCGUGAGUGGGCUUGAGUUUGUAAAAUAAAAAUAAAGUAGAAAGACUCUGGUUUUAUUGUUAAGUUUACUACUAUGA